AGAGACUCAUUUGUGUAACAAACAUUAAGGGUUGUUCCCUGGGCACUGGCAACAAAGGCCAACCCGGCUGGCUCUCUGAGCUCAAGAAAUCACAGCAUGGCUCAGCGGUGCUCAUUGCUGGCUGCCCACUAGAACUAUUUGAAGAAACAUAAAACUCUGAUGCCCAGACCCACCUCAAGGGUUUUGUUUUGUUUUGUUUGUUUUUUGAGACAGAGUCUUGCUCUGUCACCCAGGCUGGAGUGCAGUGGUGUCAUCUCAGCUCACUACAACCUCUGCCUCCCAGGUUCAAGGACUCCUCCCACCUCAGCCUCCCAAAUAGCUAGGAUUACAGGCACACACCACCAUGCCUGGCUAAUUUUUUGUAUUUUUAGUAGAGACAGGAUUUCACCAUGUUGGCCAGGCUAGUCUUGAACUCCUGACCUCAAGUGAUCUGCCCGCCUUGGCCUUUCAGAGUGCUGGGAUUACAGGUGUGAGCUACCGCACCCAGCCAAGAGAUUGUUUAAUCAGCAAAAGGCUGGGCAGGGCAGUGGGGCCUAGGGCGGCACUUGCUAUCAGAUGUCUGGAGGGCAGGGUUGGCUUUGGCCAUAGAUGGACCUCGGUUCAAAUCCUGGCUGGCCAUACCACUUACCAGCUCUAGACCUAGAGCAGGUUAACAUCAUGAAUCUAAACUACUUACCACUUAACAAAGUGAGUGACUAUCUAUAACUGUUGCCGUUGUUACAAGAAAUCCACUUAGUAACUGCACUGAAAGCCCCUCAUCCCCAAAAGGCAAGAAAUGGGGAACAACCGGGUGACUAAGGAAAACUGCAAGUGAAAGCAGCUGUAAUUUCUCUCGCUGUGGUUUGCGGUGCUCAACACUCUUGCUUGGCUGGUUGUCUUGGAGGGUUAAUGAGGUCUCUGCUGAGUGUCCUCAGCUUAGCAAUGGGCAGUGGGGCUCUGUUCACAGUCUCAUCCCGGCCACGUGGCCUCCCGGGUUCAGACACCCUAGGCUGAUGCUGUGGUUCCAUGUGCCUGAA
rnacentral:lncRNA from 1 species